GGGGUCUGAGGCUGUCAUCCUGGCCUGGCUAUCCACCCUCACAUCAAAUUCAUCAUCGACUGCAACCUGAGAAGGUUGCAGGGAAGGUGGUUGCCAAAGCACAGAGGCUCACACAAGGAAGCAGGCUGGAAGCAGGGACACGUGGCUCUAGGGCUGGAUGGGUCAAGACCAGCCCUGCUGGAGAUGGGACAAAGUGCCCCAUGGCUCAUGGCAUGAGAUCAGCCUCUGUGCCUCGCCUGUGGCCACACGCACUGAUGGCAGAGCAGAGACAGAAACCUGGAUCCAGAAGUCCAGAGGGCUGAGAUGUGGCCAGCUUUUGAGGCUUUGGAGAAGGCAGUCUUGUUUUAACUCAGCUUGUGAUUUCAGGGCAUGUUCAAGAAGCGGUUUGCAAAUCCAGAGUGGCUUCUAACAGCACCCCGGGCCUUUGAUCUCUGACUCUUGCAGAGAAGAACUUCAGAACCUGUGAAAGCUGAGAGAAACCACCCCUGUCGCUACCUGGUGCUCACCAGCUUCACCGGCAGAGUUGCCCCAGGAGCGGUGAAACAUAUCGAGUUUUAUCUGCGGGAUGAGUGUGAAAGGACGAGAAGAACAACUUCUCAUGAAUGAAGAAUCAUCCAGCUCGGUGAUGAAAAAUAAAAAAGAAAACCAACAAAACAGGAAGGAAAACAGUGAAAACUCUGAUGCUCCUUGGGGAAUAUGAAGAGACACAGAUUUCAUUUAAGAUAACAAAAAAAAAAAAAAAAGAGAGAAGAAAUAAAAACAAAAACACCACCACCACCAACAGAAAGCAGCAGAAGUACCAAGAGUCGGAUGGGUGAAUGCUGCUCUUCAGAGCAGUCCCUGCAAUGGGGACUCCCCAGCCGUGAGGUCCCCAGCUCCCGCAGCAGCUCGGCAGCUCCCUCCCCUCCUCCACUUCUGCACUACGAUUCAUAUGGUGACUGCUGCAGUAAAAUCAGGAGCAAUGAAGACUAUAUAUAAAAGGGCUGGAGUAAAGGCAAGUGGCACCUCAAUUCUACUUCUGAGUAAGCCUUUUGUUUUUAGCAAAACAGGCACAUCAGUGCUGCUCCAGCCAGCCACAGGCUCAGCUUUCCCUGUGGAAGCUGGCAAGGAGCAGCAGGUCUGAGCCUCAGAACUGCAGCAGAGAGGAGUUCCACCUCCUCCUGCUGGUGGCCAACCUUGGCUGUUGGCCUUCCUAUGGGGACGGAGGCAUCCCCAUGCUCCGCUGGUCUGCCUAUAGCGAUACAGAUGGGUGACUGGUGAGACCGGGCUGGGCCAGAGCCAGAGGCAGUUGUGCUGGUACGGAGCAGCGGCCGCUGCCUGGAGUUGGGCUACUCUUCGAUUUGUUGCUUUUUUAAUUACUUUAAUUUGUAUUUAUUUGUUUCUCGGAGGUUUUUUCAACAGGAAAACUUUGAAGAAAUGUUGCUUUUCUCCCCUCUCACUGAAUAAAGUAAAAAAUAAAAAAGGAAGCCCAAACUCCAAAUGUCAGAAAGCCCUCUGCUUCUUCUGCAAAACAGAAUUCUUAUUGUCCGACAGCCCCAACUUAUUGACAGGCAGAAGAAAAGCAGGCAGACCAUAUGAUGGCAGUGGAAAAAAAAAAAGAAGAAAAAAAGGAAAAGAAAGAAAACCAGAAAGAAGAAAGACAAACAGCCUCCUACACUGGAUGCAGCUCAAUUCCCAAGAACGAUGCUGCUGCCACGAGUGGGGCUUGGGCCCUGGGUACCUGAGGUGCUGGGGAGCUGCCCUGCUACCAUGUCCCACAACCAGCCCAUCGAUUGGAGGUGGCCCUGAUUCCCCACAUUACUCAGAAAUAAUAAAUAAAAGUUCCCCUUCCAGCAUCUAAUAGGGCGCUUCUGGUUUUGCUUCCAGCUGUUGAGGCCUACUUGGUGUUUCCUGCCCCAUGGUGGCCCAGAGGGAUGCAAGGGCAGG
ensembl:lncRNA